UGCAGUCGAGCGGAUGAAGGAAGCUUGCUCCUGGAUUCAGCGGCGGACGGGUGAGUAAUGCCUAGGAAUCUGCCUGGUAUUGGGGGAUAACGUCCGGAAACGGGCGCUAAUACCGCGUACGUCCUGAGGGAGAAAGUGGGGGAUCUUCGGACCUCACGCUAUCUGAUGACCCUAAGUCGGAUUACCUAGUUGGUGGGGUAAAGGGCUACCAAGGCGACUAUCCGUAACUGGUCUGAGAGGAUGAUCAGUCACACUGGAACUGAGACCCGGUCCUGACUCCUACGGGAGGCUCCAGUGGGGAAUAUUGGACAAUGGGCGAAAGCCUGAUCCAACCAUGCCGCGUGUGUGAAGAAGGUCUUCGGAUUGUAAAGCACUUUAAGUUGGGAGGAAGGGCAGUAAGUUAAUACCUUGCUGUUUUGACGUUACCAACAGAAUAAGCACCGGCUAACUUCCUGCCAUCAGUCGCGGUAAUACGAAGGGUGCAAGCGUUAAUCGGAAUUACUGGGCGUAAAGCGCGCGUAGGUGGUUCACCAAGUUGGAUGUGAAAUCCCCGGGCUCAACCUGGGAACUGCAUCCAGAACUACUGAUCUAGAGUACGGUAGAGGGUGGUGGAAUUUCCUGUGUAGCGGUGAAAUGCGUAGAUAUAGGAAGGAACACCAGUGAGCGAAGGCGACCACCUGGACUGAUUCUGACACUGAGGUGCGAAAGCGAUGGGGCAG
rnacentral:rRNA from 1 species